GAUGAACGCUGGCGGCGUGCCUAAUACAUGCAAGUCGAGCGAAUGGAUUAAGAGCUUGCUCUUAUGAAGUUAGCGGCGGACGGGUGAGUAACACGUGGGUAACCUGCCCAUAAGACUGGGAUAACUCCGGGAAACCGGGGCUAAUACCGGAUAACAUUUUGAACCGCAUGGUUCGAAAUUGAAAGGCGGCUUCGGCUGUCACUUAUGGAUGGACCCGCGUCGAAUUAGCUAGUUGGUAAGGUAACGGCUCACCAAGGCAACGAUGCGUAGCCGACCUGAGAGGGUGAUCGGCCACACUGGGACUGAGACACGGCCCAGACUCCUACGGGAGGCAGCAGUAGGGAAUCUUCCGCAAUGGACGAAAGUCUGACGGAGCAACGCCGCGUGAGUGAUGAAGGCUUUCGGGUCGUAAAACUCUGUUGUUAGGGAAGAACAAGUGCUAGUUGAAUAAGCUGGCACCUUGGCGGUACCUAACCAGAAAGCCACGGCUAACUACGUGCCAGCAGCCGCCGUAA
rnacentral:rRNA from 1 species